CUGAAGACCUGUGUCAGUGAAACAGGUAGCAAAAGCAAACAGCUGUGAAGAAUGCAGAGCAAGGGGAGAAUCAAGAGUAAUUUCACAUGGGGGAUUGCAGUUGGGCCUAGAAGGACAUUUGCAGUUUUCCUGCAAAACUAUUUAUAAAGGAAAAGCAGAGAGAGGGAGAAUGUGAAGAGGUGAAGAGACGAGGGUAGGGGAGAAGCCAGAAGCAGAGACUGGAACAUGCAGCAGUUGUUUUAAGUACAGACACCAACAGGGAAAGCAAAGGAUCUAUCCAGAGCAUCUGGAGCCUGCUGGAGGAAAUGGAGGGAGUGGAUGUGCAAAUAUGCAGUCUGAAGGAAUUUAUGUGCACCUCACCCUUCAAAGGGCUGUUUUAGACCACAGAGAAUGGCCAUCGCCGUCAGACUGAGGUGACUUGUGUGGUAAUUAUGCAAAGUUCCUAGCUGAAAAGAUAUUGAGUUGACUGCACUAGCUCUUUAGGUUUUAAACAGCAUAUUUGCACACAUCUCUGAAAAAAAGCCACCUGAAAACCCAUCACUGGUCUGUUUUGGAAAGAUGGAUACAAGGAACAGCAGAGAAUGACUUUUCCAUAGCACAGUCUCCUCUUUUCAUGACUUCAGCCUGAACUUGCUGCAUUUUUUUCCAAAAGAGCUGUUGCUGCUCAACAGAAACUGGCAAUGGCAUUGAAUCAUUUGGCUCUGCAAUUGUUUACACCAGAAACUUUCAGCAAUACAGGAUUAGGAAAAUAUAUUGUUGAAAGACAGGGGAAAAUCAAGUCUUCAUUUUACAGUCUGUCAAGAUUCCCUUGUUACUCUUUUUUUCCUCAGAUCAUAUGUUGAGGACACUUGAAGAUGCUGGCUCCUUGAGCAGGUGGCGGUGCUGGUGCUGGGAGGCAGCGGUGUGUGCGCUCCCUCUAGUGAGCUCUGUUCCCGAGGAUGGGGAUCAGCCUGCCCGGGGCCUCUGGCCAGCUGCCAGGGCUUCAGCUGCAAAGUGUUUUCUUCCUCAGGUGGCAUUCAUACCAAUUCUGCUGUUCUGCCUGUGGAACCUGCUUGUACAGGCUGAGUCACUGCUGGAGAGGGGGAACGCAGGGGAAUCCAGGUCUGCCACACGUUUGCUGAGCAGGGCACUGUGCUCUGGCUUUCUACAGCUGUAUACAGUGUUUCUGAAAAUCCUUUUCAUCUUACUUAGACAGCCUUUUAAACCUUCUUUCGGUGAGAAGCGAAUUUAAAGUAGGGAGUGAGAGAGCACUGGCUGACCUCAUCCCUGGGUAACACUUUGAGAUGCUCAGGCAGAAGGAAACCUUAGUGGAACGUAGUCCCUGAAAGAAAGCAGUCAGUGGUGGAGCUCUGCCAGUGCACUACAGCUCCAGUCUGAUGGUAAAUUGCUCAGUGUAACCUGCAGCUCUGCUGCUUGGUCAUACUGACUCUGUAGUAACACUUAAUAUAUUAAUAUUGAAGGGGGAGGGGAAAGUGUGCAAAAUCCAGUUUUUACUGGGUAUUUCUGUAUUUGAGUGGUGUAGAGAUAAGCAUAUUCUCUUAAGGAGAACUUGGGAUGUAAAUAUCACAUAUCAAGUAAGAAUUCAAAUGAGAAGCUAUAAAACCUGCAUGUUAUAUUUCAGACAUGUUCCCUCCCAUUUCAUGGUCAGUAGGAAGGGUAUAAAUGAGAAGGAAGGGAAAUACAUGUUGGUUUUUUCCUAGUUUAUCCUUCAGCCUUUAAAACAUGAAACAUAAGAGUAGAAUAUCAAAUUAUUUAAUAGUUGCUUGUGAUUAUUCACAAGGUUAUAGGCAUCAGGGUCUGGGUAUGCAAGGAAGGAUAAGGAUGCUACUGAAAUGGUUUCUUUCUUUUUUUGGACAAAUAUGUACCUUCUGGUUGCUCUCAUCACAAAGUCAGUCUUGAAUAAGAUAGCUUGAGAAAUACAGGCAUAAGAGGGAAAGGAGUGAAAUAUUUGUUUGGAAUAUCAUAUGAAAGCCCCUAUGAAAUCUGGAUUUGGAUAAUCAAGUUAAGAGUUAGUCAGGGAAGUAGAUCAUGACUUUUAUUUAAAACAUACCAGUGACAAACCUGUUCCAUAACGCACACAAAUUGCUAAACUCUCAAUGCAUCUCGAGCUCUGACCUGGAGGGAAACAAAAGGAUUUCACUGCCUUCCCUUUUGGCUUCUGAAAAGGGCAAAAACUGUGUAGCCUGCAGAGGAAACAUCAGUCUUGGCAGCUCUGCAUCACCUAUUUCUGUUCAGACUGUAGUGAAUGGAAAAGAUGUUGACCUCUAAACACGAAUUGUCCUUUCAUCAUGAUGCAAUAGAAAUAUCUGAAUUUAGGUUAAUAGUCACCAGAGUGUUAUUUGUCUAAAUAUGUAUAUAUGUUUAUAUCUUUAUUUAAAGUCUUUAAAACACUUUGGUUAUGGGCAUCUUUUCAAAUUUUUGUACUGGAGAUCAGGCAUAUCGUUUAUGGAUAUUGGAGAUUAUGAAACUGUUGUGACCACUGGUGUAUAUUUUUUAAGAGUAAAAUACGUGUCAAGCUCUUUUAGUUUUCUUAUACCUGUUACUUACAGAAAUUCUGCUGGCAUGUAUAUCUUUGUACAAAAAAAGAAUUUAAUAAACUCUCAAGUAUUCUGCGCUAUCCUUCA
rnacentral:lncRNA from 1 species